UGGGGAAUAUUGCACAAUGGGCGCAAGCCUGAUGCAGCAACGCCGCGUGAGGGACGACGGCCUUCGGGUUGUAAACCUCUUUUAGUAGGGAAGAAGCGAAAGUGACGGUACCUGCAGAAAAAGCACCGGCUAACUACGUGCCAGCAGCCGCGGUAAUACGUAGGGUGCGAGCGUUGUCCGGAAUUAUUGGGCGUAAAGAGCUCGUAGGCGGUCUGUCGCGUCUGCUGUGAAAACCCGAGGCUCAACCUCGGGCCUGCAGUGGGUACGGGCAGACUAGAGUGCGGUAGGGGAGAAUGGAAUUCCUGGUGUAGCGGUGGAAUGCGCAGAUAUCAGGAGGAACACCGAUGGCGAAGGCAGUUCUCUGGACCGUAACUGACGCUGAGGAGCGAAAGCGUGGGGAGCGAACAGGAUUAGAUACCCUGGUAGUCCACGCCGUAAACGUUGGGCGCUAGAUGUGGGG
rnacentral:rRNA from 1 species